ACCAGACUCCUACGGGAGGCAGCAGUGGGGGAUAUUGCACAAUGGGGGGAACCCUGAUGCAGCGACGCCGCGUGGGUGAAGAAGUAUUUCGGUAUGUAAAGCCCUAUCAGCAGUGAAUUGACGGUACCUGCAAAGGAAGCACCGGCUAACUCCGUGCCAGCAGCCGCGGUAAUACGUAUGGUGCAAGCGUUAUCCGGAUUUACUGGGUGUAAAGGGAGCGCAGGCGGCACGGCAAGCCUGAUGUGAAAGCCCGCGGCCCAACCGCGGGACUGCAUUGGGAACUACCGGGCUGGAGUGCCGGAGAGGUAGGCGGAAUUCCUAGUGUAGCGGUGAAAUGCGUAGAUAUUAGGAGGAACACCGGUGGCGAAGGCGGCCUGCUGGACGACAACUGACGGUGAGGCGCGAAAGCGUGGGGAGCAAACAGGAUUAGAUACCCCCGUACG
rnacentral:rRNA from 1 species